GAUGAACGCUGGCGGCGUGCCUAAUACAUGCAAGUCGAACGAAACUUCUUUAUCACCGAGUGCUUGCACUCACCGAUAAAGAGUUGAGUGGCGAACGGGUGAGUAACACGUGGGCAACCUGCCCAAAAGAGGGGGAUAACACUUGGAAACAGGUGCUAAUACCGCAUAACCAUAGUUACCGCAUGGUAACUAUGUAAAAGGUGGCUAUACUACCGCUUUUGGAUGGGCCCGCGGCGCAUUAGCUAGUUGGUAGGGUAAAGGCUUACCAAGGCAAUGAUGCGUAGCCGAAUUGAGAGGUUGAUCGGCCACAUUGGGACUGAGACACGGCCCAAACUCCUACGGGAGGCAGCAGUAGGGAAUCUUCCACAAUGGGCGAAAGCCUGAUGGAGCAACGCCGCGUGGGUGAAGAAGGUCUUCGGAUCGUAAAACCCUGUUGUUAGAGAAGAAAGUGCGUGAGAGUAACUGUUCACGCUUCGACGGUACCUAACCAGAAAGCCACUGCUAACUACGUG
rnacentral:rRNA from 1 species